AGUGAACGCUGGCGGUAGGCCUAACACAUGCAAGUCGAACGGCAGCACAGUAAGAGCUUGCUCUUACGGGUGGCGAGUGGCGGACGGGUGAGGCAUACAUCGGAAUCUACUUUUUCGUGGGGGAUAACGUAGGGAAACUUACGCUAAUACCGCAUACGACCUACGGGUGAAAGCAGGGGAUCUUCGGACCUUGCGCGAUUGAAUGAGCCGAUGUCGGAUUAGCUAGUUGGCGGGGUAAAGGCCCACCAAGGCGACGAUGCGUAGCUGGUCUGAGAGGAUGAUCAGCCACACUGGAACUGAGACACGGUCCAGACUCCUACGGGAGGCAGCAGUGGGGAAUAUUGGGCAAUGGGCGCAAGCCUGACCCAGCCAUACCGCGUGGGUGAAGAAGGCCUUCGGGUUGUAAAGCCCUUUUGUUGGGAAAGAAAAGCAGCAGGUUAAUACCCCGCUGUUCUGACGGUACCCAAAGAAUAAGCACCGGCUAACUUCGUG
rnacentral:rRNA from 1 species